rnacentral:misc_RNA from 1 species
UGUAAAUUAUCUCAUAUAUGUGAAGUAAUAGAUGAUGAACGGAUACACAACAAAACAAUUACAAAGGUUGGAAAAAAAGAAGAAAAAAGUGGCAGCAUUUUUAGAAAUUGCGAAACUCAAUGACAGAGAUAAAGAAAUAAAAUUGCAGUCUCAAGAAGAGACAUCAAUUGUUGAUGAUAUAUUAAGUAAACAGAAUAAUAUUGAUAUGACUGGAGAAGAUUCUAAUAAACGAUCCCGUGACAUGGAUACAGAUGAUAUAAACAGGUUGGAUUACAUUAAGGAAAUUACAUUAAGGCUGCUAAAACCUGGCGAAACCAUUCAUACUGAACGCUACCGACAAUAAAUGAUCGAUUUGAAUCAAGCGUGAAAGACGACCAGAAUAUCAAAAAAGGCAACACAAAGUGAUUUUGCUUCAUGAUAAUGCACCAUCACACACAGCAAAAUUGGUCAAGGAAACGAUUGAGACGUUUAGUUGGAAAAUACUUACGCAUGUGGCUUACUCACCAGACUUGGCUCCAUCUGAUUUCUACUUAUUUGCAUCGAUGGAACACACACUUGCUGAGCAAUGCUUCACUUCUUACGAAAAUAAGACAUUGAGGAACUUCUAAUAACAAACGUGAAAAAAAGAAGAGAAUUAUGGGAUCAUACAUUGCCACUUGCGAACAGAUCUCGUGAUAUAAUAGCAACUCACUGGCAAGAAAUUUCAAAAGAAUUAAAUGUUAAGUUUA